rnacentral:rRNA from 1 species
UACGAAGGGGGCUAGCGUUGCUCGGAAUCACUGGGCGUAAAGCGCACGUAGGCGGAUUUUUAAGUCAGGGGUGAAAUCCUGGAGCUCAACUCCAGAACUGCCUUUGAUACUGGGAAUCUCGAGUCCGGGAGAGAUGAGUGGAACUGCGAGUGUAGAGGUGAAAUUCGUAGAUAUUCGCAAGAACACCAGUGGCGAAGGCGGCUCACUGGCGCGGUACUGACGCUGAGGUGCGAAAGCGUGGGGAGCAAACAGG